rnacentral:rRNA from 1 species
CAGGAUGAACGCUGGCGGCGUGCCUAAUACAUGCAAGUCGAACGGGAGUGCUUGCACUCCAGUGGCGAACGGGUGAGUAACACGUAGGUAAUCUAGCAUUAAGACGAGGAUAGCUUCUAGAAAUGGGAGAUAAUACUGGAUAGGAAAUUUUCCUGCAUGGGGAAAUUUUUUAAAGAUUUAUCGCUUAAUGGGGAGCCGGCGGUGCAUUAGCUAGAUGGUGAGGGUAACGGCCCACCAUGGCGAUGAUGCAUAGCCGGUCUGAGAGGACGAACGGCCACAUUGGGACUGAGAACGGCCCAAACUCCUACGGGAGGCAGCAGUAGGGAAUUUUCGGCAAUGGGCGGAAGCCCUGACCGAGCAACGCCGCGUGAUUGAAGAAGUAUUUCGGUAUGUAAAAAUCUUUUAUUUGGGACGAAAAAAUCAAAAUUGACGGUACCAAAUGAAUAAGCCCCGGCUAACUACGUGCCAGCCGCGGC